rnacentral:misc_RNA from 1 species
GGUAAUCUAUUUGCUUUCUCUUAGUUUUACUUCAUAUUUAAUUUUCUGAAUUCUCUGUCUAUGUAGUAAGUAGGAGAAAGGCUUGAUGUUGAUGAAUACAUGUUAGAACUUAGGCUACAAGAGGUUUAUAUGGUAGUUCUAGAUCUAGACCAAGACAAAACAAUUGUGAAAGUAUCAGCUGUUAUUGACUCCAAUGCCAUGUUGCGAUUGGGCUUAGUUACCUAAUUUGCUUCCCCCACAUUCCCUCCCCCCUCCCUCUCCCACACAACCACCACCACCCCCCAACCCCAAAGUGAA